CCAGGAGUGGGUGAUGCGCACAUGCUUGAGCUGCGGGAACAGCUCGCUGAACAGGUAGCGGCGCAGUUCGAUUUCGUGUUCUUGGA
rnacentral:tRNA from 1 species